rnacentral:lncRNA from 1 species
CUUUUAAGAAUACUAAUCAAUGAUACUAUAGUGAUAUCAUUAAAUGUAUGGCAUAUAGCUUGAUUCGGAUGCAACAUGAUGCAUGCAUUAACACAACCGAAGGCCAAAAACCAUAAAGUGAUACACGUAUCCAAAUCAAUCCAAGCAGCAUGACUCCACAAUUUCACUUACAUAUGAAAUUGAGUUCACGGGGAUGAAUGUCAACUAGACGGCCUCAUGAUUCCUCUAGCCUAAGAUAGUAAAUGAAAAAAAAAAAUAAAAAAAAAUCAAGGCACCACUAAGUUUCAAAUAAAAUAUAAUGAAUUGACAAGAACAACAACGAUAUCAACUCAUUUUUACCAUAUUUUCUCUACUAUCUAGAGGCAUAUGGUUGGAAUAAGUAAAGGAAGUAAGAUACAAGUCAAAACUAAAAGUAAGAAAGACACACUGGAAAAUCAUGGAUUUUUUUUUGGAAGAGAAGAAUAUUUAAGGUUAGAAAGAAAUUAACAAAUUUAAGAACGUUCUUGAUUUUGGGACUGUCGAAAAACCAAUAUAAAUAAAAAUCUUUGCAGCUUUCAUAUGUGUAUUCAACAAUGGAAGAUGGAACACAAAACACAGAUUGGGAGUUUGUUUCUACUACUUUUGUGGGAAGUAAAAUUAGAAGGCCAAAACACUUCCCCCAAUAAAAUCCUCCAUUUAUACAAAACUUCAAACCUCACAACACCACAUAUAAAUACGCACAUGGAAGAAGUAAUAAAUAGUUGCACAGGAAAAAAUAAAUUUAAGGACAAAUGUGUGAGAAUUUGAUCGAGUGAGAAGAAGAGGCAAUUGAGACAGAAAUUGAUAGGGAGUAAUAGGCAAAACAUGCAACAAAGUAGAGAUGAUGAUCCAUAAGAUGAUUCCGAUGGUUGGAAUUGUAGCGGCCGAUGAAUUGUAAGAAAGAUA